rnacentral:tRNA from 1 species
AAUGACGUGCUUGACUAAAAGGCCAUCUUGAUAGGAUGGAUUAAGGAAGUAGCCUUCCCGCCAUUG